ensembl:lncRNA novel transcript
GCGCUGAGGAGGGCACAGGGGACAUGCCUGACUCCGUCUGGGUGCCAGGCCCAGAGCCGGGCAUUUCCCAUAGUCAUCGGCCCCCUGCCCGCCCCCAGCAUGUCGAGGAAGGGAGGAGUAUUUUUAGUUCCAUCUUGAAGACGGGCACAGGAACGGAGAAUAACUGCCUGAAAGCACUGUCCCUGGUCUGAGCGGCCCUUGGAAAGGCUCAGCCUGGCCCAGGCCUUGCUGCUUCCCAUAACAGUUACAAGCACUGGCUCUGCCAUCGGAGAUGAAAGGGUACACGUGGGGUUCUCCGACCUUCCAGCCGUGUGACCUCGGACUGUUGAACCUACGCAGCUGACGUCAUGGUUGGCACGCAGCUUAGUCUUGUAUCUGGCUCCGUGGGGCACGUGGUGCCCUGUGCACACAUGCCCACCUCGCCCUGUUGGCCCCUCUGGGCACAACUGACUUUGGGAUAGGGACCAGAGCCUGAACUGUCCUGGGGGCCCAAUGUCAUUGGUGAUCCCCUAGUUGGAGAAUGCUCUCUGGCAGGGAGCAGGAGAGGAAGAGAGACUGAAGCUGGAGGAGGAUGCAGUGCAUGUGGCUGACUGGCAGGUGGAGGGGUCACCCAAGGAGGAAUGGGGGCCCUAGGGCAGAGAGCAGCCUCCGUGGACGCCAGCAAGGAAACAGGGGUGUCAGGCCUGUAACCUCAAGGACCCGGAUUCUGCCAGUGCCCGAGUGAGCCUGGGCAAAGAUUCCUCCCGGAGCCUCCAGGUUGGAGUCCAGCCCCACCACACCUUGAUUUUGGCCCAUGGGACCCUGAGCAGAGCCCAGCUGAACUCAUAUGGCAAGAAAGACCGGAGCUAAAAAGGAUGUUGUUUUAAGACACUAAGUAUAGGGCGAUCUGCUACACAGCAAUAGAAAACCACGGCAAAACCCACAUGGGUGAAGACACUGGGUUUGGGUUUGGACGUGCUGAGCUUGGGACGCUUUAGGACUUCCAGGUGGAGGAGUCCAGAAGGCAUUGUUUGCCCAUCCAUGGUGCCCUGAAGAGACCAAGAGGCUCACAUCAGAGGGUGGUCUCAGAGAGGCCGAGCGUGUGACAGCAGAAAAAUCGCUUGCCGUCUACACCCACCCUCCCUCUCUGCACGAGGACGUGGCACCAGAAAAUUGGCAGUCUUUUCCUAGCCUAAAGCACCGCAGUGAGCACCAACCAGUGGUUGCCAUCACCGGCCUCACUCCGAGUCCAGCUCCUGUGGCAGGAUAGCCGAGCUCUGCAGAGGGUCCCGGGCUGGGGCCUGGGGCUGCGUCCGCCAGGCGCUUCCCUGUCUCCUUAUGCUCCAGGGGCCGUUGGCUCUGGGGCAUGCAGGGGUCCCAGUGGUGCCUGUCUCUCAUCCUGCAUCCCUAUCACGCUGGCGCACACUAGGGCCCCUCGUACUGCUGAUGUCACAUGCUGACUGCUUGCCGCCUUCCGAGAGCCCGUCCUCUUCAUCCAGGGGCCCCAGCAAGUGAUGCCAUUUUAACACAAACUUCAAGAGCAAAGUUUGUGAAUCGGUUGCUUUGAGCCCAGGAGCUGUGUCUUGCCUGUGCCUGGCCUGCUUCCUAAAUUCCAGGGAUGCCUCCUGACCUCCAAGCCCACUCCUCAGCCCCCAUCGUCUCUACUUCCUUUUCAGGUUGCAUUCAACUCAGCCGUAAAACAGAUCAGGGCUGCCGGAUCCCCGCUGCUCAGAACAUGAGAUUUUCUCCUGGCAGUGGGAGGCCUGACAUCUUAUUAAAAACAGAGCAAAUGGCAUCAGUGGAAAGGUAGUAACUGAGUACCUGCUGUGUGCCUGGGGAUGUCUUCUGAGCUGGGACUGGAAAGAGGAGCGGAAGGAGAGGCUGAGCUGUGAGUAAGAUGUCUCCAGCCAAGCACGAGGCAGCCCAGCCUACUCAGCAGGGAGCAGAACACAGUGGCCCAACCUUUUUGGCACCAGGGACCAGUUUCAUGGAAGAUAAUUUUUCCACGGACGGGACAAAGGUGCCUCCAUGGCUGCACUGACAGUCUCCAGCACAAGAGAGGAGAAACAGCAUCGGAGGAGACAACAGUCUCCCUGCGUAUGCAAGACACGGUGCGGAAGUCAUCUCCCCAGCAUCUCAGCCCCUGCCCACUGCUGCUUGGGACAAGGUAAGCUGUGGGGGAGGCAGCCCGUGUCCUGGGAGCUUCCAGCUGGGACCCUGAUGACACAUCCCUGUGCAGUCCCAGUCCUUGGUGAUAAUGGAAGAUGGAGCUGAUCCAAGGAACUCGAGCCAGCCCAUUUGAAGAAUGUGUCUUAGGCUCCACGUCCACACUGGAAAGAAAUGAAAAUCCUAGGGACGGUGUCACAGGGCUAUCGAGGUGAUGCAGUGCCUGGUGUAAGAUGCGGAAAUGAAGGACUGGAUGGUCCCCAGAACUCUCCACUUCACCCCAGAUGCCUUCUCUCCGUACGGAGUGAGGACGCCUCAGAGGCACCCCGCGCCUGGGCUCAUCCCUGCUGCAAGUCCUCUGGGGCUCCCCCAGCAGCCUCCUGCCAGACAGCCCCCUCCGGCUCCGGCCUGUGAUCAAAUCCCGGCUCUGUCCUCAGCAGCGUUGCUCCUGGGUGACCUCCAGGACAGUUCCAGCUCAGGAUGGCUUUCUUCCGAGGCAUCCCUGUACCUGUCACAAUGCGAGCUCUCCAAAUACCAGUAAAUGAACAAACUCCAAGAGAAAAAGGACCAAGUCCACGAACAAGUCAAUCACCAAGAAAGAACUGAAAACAGCCGGGAGACCACCCAUGGACCUUGCCUCUCACAUGAGAUUCAAGCAACGACAUGGUGUCUGCUGUGACUGGUGGUGGUGCAGGGGCUCGUGGUGUGGGGACCAGCACGGGGGCAGCACUGACCCCAACCCCAGAUUCCUGGAAGGCAGCUUGGCCCGUGCCAUGGAAGGGUUUACAACACUCGCUCCCUUUGACCCAGCCAUUUUCUUCUGGUAAAGCCUCAUAAAGAAAUAGCUGGACGGGAGCCUUCGGCUGUGGAUGCAGCUGUGAUGGGCUCUGUAAAUUAUUAGCCACAGUCUGGUGCAAAGCUGGAAAUGAACAAAUUGUCCAUGGACAGAAGGGUAGUGAAGAGAGGAUGGAGCAGCCACAGAAGGUACACCAGGCAGCCAUUCUGACAGUGUGGAUUCGGGUUUAUUACUGUGGAAAAAUGUCCAUGGUGUAUAUUAUCGUGUGUGAGGCAGACCACGGGCAGCACGUCCCAAAUGGGGCCACUUUGUAAAUUCUCUCUCUCUUUCUCCAUCGCUCCAGCUCUCUAGCUGUGCAUAAGAAUAAUACAGAAUAUGAUGCUUAAAAACCUAUUUACCAACAUUGUAAUAGCUCCAGAGGAGGGCGGUGCCAGUGAUUUUCCUUCAUUUCAUCAUUCCUUCAGGUGUCGUCUUCAUUUUUUAUGUUUUUUGCAGUCAAUGCUUAUUACUUUAAUAACCAUAAAACUGUUAC